GUGCUCACCUUAGCAACGCACAUAUUAAAAUUGGAAUGAUAUAGAGAAAAUUAGCAUGGCCCCUGUGCAAGGAUGACACGCAACUUCGUGAAGCGUUCUAUAUUUUU
rnacentral:snRNA from 1 species